UGCAAGUCGCACGAGAACGCUUCAGCUUGCUGAAGCAAGUAAAGUGGCGCACGGGUGAGUAACGCGUGGGUAACCUACCUCCGAAUUGGGGAUAACAUUGCGAAAGCGAUGCUAAUACCGAAUAACAUCCUUAGCACUUCGGUUCUUUGGAUCAAAGGUGGCCUCUCCUUGGAAGCUAUCGUUUGGGGAUGGGCCCGCGUACCAUUAGCUUGUUGGUAGGGUAACGGCCUACCAAGGCUACGAUGGUUAGCUGGUCUGAGAGGAUGAUCAGCCACACUGGAACUGACACACGGUCCAGACUCCUACGGGAGGCAGCAGUGAGGAAUUUUGCGCAAUGGGGGAAACCCUGACGCAGCAAUGCCGCGUGAGUGAUGAAGGCUUUCGGGUCGUAAAGCUCUGUCAAGUGGGAAGAACCUACAUGUUGAUAACACCAUCAUGUACUGACGGUACCACUGAAGGAAGCACCGGCUAACUCCGUGCCAGCAGCCGCGGUAAUACGGGGGGUGCUAGCGUUACUCGGAAUUACUGGGCGUAAAGCGCGCGUAGGCGGUCCUUUAAGUCAGAUGUGAAAGCCCGGGGCUCAACCCCGGAAGUGCAUUUGAAACUAAGGGACUUGAGUAUGGGAGAGGGAAGUGGAAUUCCUGGUGUAGCGGCGAAAUGCGUAGAUAUCAGGAGGAACACCGGUGGCGAAGGCGACUUCCUGGACCAAUACUGACGCUCAGGCGCGAAGGCGUGGGGAGCAAACAGGAUUAGAUACCCUGGUAGUCCACGCAGUAAACGGUGAACACUANGUGUAGCGGGUAUUGACCCCUGCUGUGCCGCAGCUAACGUAUUAAGUGUUCCGCCUGG
rnacentral:rRNA from 1 species